GACGAACGCUGGCGGCGUGCUUAACACAUGCAAGUCGAACGAUGAAGCCGGAGCUUGCUCUGGUGAAUUAGUGGCGAACGGGUGAGUAACACGUGAGUAACCUGCCCUUGACUCUGGGAUAACUGCUAGAAAUGGUAGCUAAUACCGGAUACGACCCUCGGAGGCAUCUCCAGGGGGUGGAAAGAAUUUCGGUCAAGGAUGGACUCGCGGCCUAUCAGCUAGUUGGUGAGGUAACGGCUCACCAAGGCGACGACGGGUAGCCGGCCUGAGAGGGUGACCGGCCACACUGGGACUGAGACACGGCCCAGACUCCUACGGGAGGCAGCAGUGGGGAAUAUUGCACAAUGGGCGCAAGCCUGAUGUAGCAACGCCGCGUGAGGGAUGACGGCCUUCGGGUUGUAAACCUCUUUUAGUAGGGAAGAAGCGAAAGUGACGGUACCUGCAGAAAAAGCACCGGCUAACUACGUGCCAGCAGCCGCCAGUAA
rnacentral:rRNA from 1 species